UACGUAGGGUGCAAGCGUUAAUCGGAAUUACUGGGCGUAAAGCGUGCGCAGGCGGUUAUGUAAGACAGUUGUGAAAUCCCCGGGCUCAACCUGGGAACUGCAUCUGUGACUGCAUAGCUAGAGUACGGUAGAGGGGGAUGGAAUUCCGCGUGUAGCAGUGAAAUGCGUAGAGAUGCGGAGGAACACCGGAUGGCGAAGGCAGCCCCCUGGGCUGACACGUGACGCUCGAGGCACGAAAGCGUGGGGAGCAAACAGG
rnacentral:rRNA from 1 species